CGUGCCUAAUACAUGCAAGUCGAACGGUCUUUCUAUGGAAGCUUGCUUCCACUGAGAAGAUAGUGGCGAACGGGUGAGUAACACGUGGGUAACCUGCCCAUAAGAGGGGGAUAACAUCCGGAAACGGGUGCUAAUACCGCAUAGUUUUUCUUGAUCGCAUGAUCGGGAAAGGAAAGACGGCCUUUGUGCUGUCGCUUAUGGAUGGACCCGCGGCGUAUUAGUUAGUUGGUGAGGUAACGGCUCACCAAGACGAUGAUACGUAGCCGACCUGAGAGGGUGAUCGGCCACAUUGGGACUGAGACACGGCCCAAACUCCUACGGGAGGCAGCAGUAGGGAAUCUUCCGCAAUGGACGAAAGUCUGACGGAGCAACGCCGCGUGAGUGAAGAAGGUUUUCGGAAUCGUAAAACUCUGUUGUCAGAGAAGAACAAGUUGGAGAGUAACUGCUCCAGCCUUGACGGUAUCUGACCAGAAAGCCACGGCUAACUACGUGCCAGCAGCUGC
rnacentral:rRNA from 1 species